GUCUACGGCCAUACCACCCUGAACGCGCCCGAUCUCGUCUGAUCUCGGAAGCUAAGCAGGGUCGGGCCUGGUUAGUACUUGGAUGGGAGACCCUAUGGAGAAGAACCACCCGGCAGGGCCAGCCCCAGACU
ensembl:rRNA 5S_rRNA 5S ribosomal RNA